UGUUAUCCAUAGGUUAUCAAUUAAACAUCUCUGGGGUCUAUCUAUAACACAUUCUGGUAAAACUCUAAAUGACAUAUUUGAUAGUGGAAAAAAUAUUAAAUUAUGCUUCCCAAAAAUUAUCCUUUCUAUAUUAUUUUGUUCUCUAAUGGGUUGUGGCUUAAAAUGAAGGUUACCUAAUACUGUCUGCAAGUAUUUGUUUGAGGGUGAGGCUUGAACGCAUUUUCCCUUGUCUUCAGUCUUGGGAACUGUUGGUCUCAUUCUGUAUAUGUAAAAUAUUCUUAUUAAUUGACAAUAAUUUUUAGCCUACUUAAAGUGUCUGCUAAAUUAUUAUCUUUUCCUUUAAUAUGUUCAAUGUGGCUUAAAAUGAAGGUUACCUAAUACUGUCUGCAAGUAUUUGUUUGAGGGUGAGGCUUGAACGCAUUUUCCCUUGUCUUCAGUCUUGGGAACUGUUGGUCUCAUUCUGUACGUAUAAAUUAUUCUUAUUAAUUGACAAUAAUUUUUAACCUACUUAAAUGGUUAAAAUAAGAUAGAGAUAAUCGGAGAAAAACCUUUAAAGCACUGGGAAAAUAAUAAAGUGAUGUGUAAAUUAGACAUAAUAAACCCAGAAUAUAUAAUUAAAACGGCUUCAAUAGAAGCUACAAAUGAAAACCUUGAAGACUUUAAAACUCAAAUUAAAGAACUUAUGGACUUAGGUGUAAUACGGAGAUCUACUUCUUAAACAUAGGUCAGUAGCUUUUAUGGUUAGAAAUCACAGUGAAAUAAUAAGAGGAAAAGCGAGAAUGGUAAUAAACAAUAAAAGACUUAAUGAUAACACCAAAACAGAUGGAUAUAAGCUACGUGAUAAAACGGAA
rnacentral:lncRNA from 1 species